rnacentral:rRNA from 1 species
UACGUAGGUGGCAAGCGUUGUCCGGAAUUAUUGGGCGUAAAGCGUGCGCAGGCGGUCCGUUAAGACAGAUGUGAAAUCCCCGGGCUUAACCUGGGAACUGCAUUUGUGACUGGCGGACUCGAGUAUGGCAGAGGGGGGUAGAAUUCCACGUGUAGCAGUGAAAUGCGUAGAGAUGUGGAGGAAUACCGAUGGCGAAGGCAGCCCCCUGGGCCAAUACUGACGCUCAUGCACGAAAGCGUGGGGAGCAAACAGG